rnacentral:rRNA from 1 species
GGUUAAGCGACUAAGCGUACACGGUGGAUGCCCUGGCAGUCAGAGGCGAUGAAGGACGUGCUAAUCUGCGAUAAGCGUCGGUAAGGUGAUAUGAACCGUUAUAACCGGCGAUUUCCGAAUGGGGAAACCCAGUGUGUUUCGACACACUAUCAUUAACUGAAUCCAUAGGUUAAUGAGGCGAACCGGGGGAACUGAAACAUCUAAGUACCCCGAGGAAAAGAAAUCAACCGAGAUUCCCCCAGUAGCGGCGAGCGAACGGGGAGCAGCCCAGAGCCUGAAUCAGUGUGUGUGUUAGUGGAAGCGUCUGGAAAGGCGCGCGAUACAGGGUGACAGCCCCGUACACAAAAAUGCACAUGCUGUGAGCUCGAUGAGUAGGGCGGGACACGUGGUAUCCUGUCUGAAUAUGGGGGACCAUCCUCCAAGGCUAAAUACUCCUGACUGACCGAUAGUGAACCAGUACCGUGAGGGAAAGGCGAAAAGAACCCCGGCGAGGGGAGUGAAAAAGAACCUGAAACCGUGUACGUACAAGCAGUGGGAGCACGCUUAGGCGUGUGACUGCGUACCUUUUGUAUAAUGGGUCAGCGACUUAUAUUCUGUAGCAAGGUUAACCGAAUAGGGGAGCCGAAGGGAAACCGAGUCUUAACUGGGCGUUAAGUUGCAGGGUAUAGACCCGAAACCCGGUGAUCUAGCCAUGGGCAGGUUGAAGGUUGGGUAACACUAACUGGAGGACCGAACCGACUAAUGUUGAAAAAUUAGCGGAUGACUUGUGGCUGGGGGUGAAAGGCCAAUCAAACCGGGAGAUAGCUGGUUCUCCCCGAAAGCUAUUUAGGUAGCGCCUCGUGAAUUCAUCUCCGGGGGUAGAGCACUGUUUCGGCAAGGGGGUCAUCCCGACUUACCAACCCGAUGCAAACUGCGAAUACCGGAGAAUGUUAUCACGGGAGACACACGGCGGGUGCUAACGUCCGUCGUGAAGAGGGAAACAACCCAGACCGCCAGCUAAGGUCCCAAAGUCAUGGUUAAGUGGGAAACGAUGUGGGAAGGCCCAGACAGCCAGGAUGUUGGCUUAGAAGCAGCCAUCAUUUAAAGAAAGCGUAAUAGCUCACUGGUCGAGUCGGCCUGCGCGGAAGAUGUAACGGGGCUAAACCAUGCACCGAAGCUGCGGCAGCGACGCUUAUGCGUUGUUGGGUAGGGGAGCGUUCUGUAAGCCUGUGAAGGUGUGCUGUGAGGCAUGCUGGAGGUAUCAGAAGUGCGAAUGCUGACAUAAGUAACGAUAAAGCGGGUGAAAAGCCCGCUCGCCGGAAGACCAAGGGUUCCUGUCCAACGUUAAUCGGGGCAGGGUGAGUCGACCCCUAAGGCGAGGCCGAAAGGCGUAGUCGAUGGGAAACAGGUUAAUAUUCCUGUACUUGGUGUUACUGCGAAGGGGGGACGGAGAAGGCUAUGUUGGCCGGGCGACGGUUGUCCCGGUUUAAGCGUGUAGGCUGGUUUUCCAGGCAAAUCCGGAAAAUCAAGGCUGAGGCGUGAUGACGAGGCACUACGGUGCUGAAGCAACAAAUGCCCUGCUUCCAGGAAAAGCCUCUAAGCAUCAGGUAACAUCAAAUCGUACCCCAAACCGACACAGGUGGUCAGGUAGAGAAUACCAAGGCGCUUGAGAGAACUCGGGUGAAGGAACUAGGCAAAAUGGUGCCGUAACUUCGGGAGAAGGCACGCUGAUAUGUAGGUGAAGUCCCUCGCGGAUGGAGCUGAAAUCAGUCGAAGAUACCAGCUGGCUGCAACUGUUUAUUAAAAACACAGCACUGUGCAAACACGAAAGUGGACGUAUACGGUGUGACGCCUGCCCGGUGCCGGAAGGUUAAUUGAUGGGGUCAGCGCAAGCGAAGCUCUUGAUCGAAGCCCCGGUAAACGGCGGCCGUAACUAUAACGGUCCUAAGGUAGCGAAAUUCCUUGUCGGGUAAGUUCCGACCUGCACGAAUGGCGUAAUGAUGGCCAGGCUGUCUCCACCCGAGACUCAGUGAAAUUGAACUCGCUGUGAAGAUGCAGUGUACCCGCGGCAAGACGGAAAGACCCCGUGAACCUUUACUAUAGCUUGACACUGAACAUUGAGCCUUGAUGUGUAGGAUAGGUGGGAGGCUUAGAAGUGUGGACGCCAGUCUGCAUGGAGCCGACCUUGAAAUACCACCCUUUAAUGUUUGAUGUUCUAACGUUGACCCGUAAUCCGGGUUGCGGACAGUGUCUGGUGGGUAGUUUGACUGGGGCGGUCUCCUCCUAAAGAGUAACGGAGGAGCACGAAGGUUGGCUAAUCCUGGUCGGACAUCAGGAGGUUAGUGCAAUGGCAUAAGCCAGCUUGACUGCGAGCGUGACGGCGCGAGCAGGUGCGAAAGCAGGUCAUAGUGAUCCGGUGGUUCUGAAUGGAAGGGCCAUCGCUCAACGGAUAAAAGGUACUCCGGGGAUAACAGGCUGAUACCGCCCAAGAGUUCAUAUCGACGGCGGUGUUUGGCACCUCGAUGUCGGCUCAUCACAUCCUGGGGCUGAAGUAGGUCCCAAGGGUAUGGCUGUUCGCCAUUUAAAGUGGUACGCGAGCUGGGUUUAGAACGUCGUGAGACAGUUCGGUCCCUAUCUGCCGUGGGCGCUGGAGAACUGAGGGGGGCUGCUCCUAGUACGAGAGGACCGGAGUGGACGCAUCACUGGUGUUCGGGUUGUCAUGCCAAUGGCACUGCCCGGUAGCUAAAUGCGGAAGAGAUAAGUGCUGAAAGCAUCUAAGCACGAAACUUGCCCCGAGAUGAGUUCUCCCUGACUCCUUGAGAGUCCUGAAGGAACGUUGAAGACGACGACGUUGAUAGGCCGGGUGUGUAAGCGCAGCGAUGCGUUGAGCUAACCGGUACUAAUGAACCGUGAGGCUUAACCUU